rnacentral:rRNA from 1 species
AGUGAACGCUGGCGGUGUGCCUAAUACAUGCAAGUCGAACGAAAACACGGUAAGCUUUUGCCUUUACGGUUGGCGGCGGCCGGGGGGGUAACACAUGGAUAGCAUCCUUCUUUUUCUGGGGGGACAUCGUGGGAAAACUGCUACUACCACAUAAUAUAUCGUACGGCGUGAAGCAGUGGUGAUAGGCGCUUUUGCUGUCGCAUAUAGCUGAUGUCGGAUUAGCUAGUUGGGGGGGUAAGGGCCCACCAAGGCGACGAUCCGUAGCUGGUCUGAGAGGAUGAUCAGCCACACUGGAACUGAGACACGGUCCAGACUCCUACGGGAGGCAGCAGUGGGGAAUCUUGGGCAAUGGGCGCAAGCCUGAUCCAGCCAUGCCGCGUGAGUGAAGAAGGCCUUCGGGUUGUAAAGCCCUUUUGUUGGGAAAGAAAAGCAGCGGGUUAAUACACCGCUGUUCUGACGGUACCCAAAGAAAAAGCACCGGCUAACUACGUG